UUAUGUAUUUUAUACAAAAAAACUCGUACAGGGAAUUCCCCUGUUAAUUGAACGCAGAGCCACGCCUAGUGAGGCCACCAUACGUCACACGUCCACACUACACAAUAUAAAUACAAAAUACGCAAAAUGUCAGAGAAACAAAGUUGUUCUCGUCUCUUGCACGUUUCAUCUAAAUAGCUACGUAAAAGGAAUCACAUAUAUCGUAUCUAUGCUUUGAAAUAUCGGUAAUGCCAUUGUGUCUGUGUAUCUGACAAGUGAUUAUUGUACUGCCUGGCAAAAAGGUACGCAAAUAUUCGUAGGGUCUUCAUAGAUCGUAGACUCGUGGUUAUUAUAUAUCAGUGAGCGCAGCUUUCUAUUCAUGCGUUUAUUUAAACUGAAAUUUUAGAGUUUCUUAAUGCUUUUAAUGAAGUUUUGUGCCAUCAAAUACCUUUUAUAGAUGUAAUCAAUUACAUGGACUGUAGCAGGAGUAAUAAUUCGUUUCAUGCUGCUCGCAUUGUUUACUUUUAUAGUACGUACAACCAUGAAAGGCAUAUUUACGCGUAGACAUAAUAUGAGAUUUGCACAGUAUAUUCGACAAAGUAGCUAACUAUAUAGUGGUAUAGACAGAAUAUUACUGAAUGUAGACCUAUAGCUGUAGUUGCUUUUGUCAUCAUAAACGUCAUAUAGGUCCAACCCAAAAGUCAUUUGAUGACUGCGUCACUGCUAUGCUUAAUGUUAUGGUUUAAAGUCCAUUCAAUGUUUGUAUAUGUUAUACCUGUUGGUAUGUUGAUUCCUCCCAAUCAUCCAGGGGCGUAGCCAAGGGGGGGCGGUCGCCCCCCCCAAUCGCAAAAAAACUAUUCUCUGAAAAAGGCUAAAUCCGUAGAGAAAUGGGGGGGGGGGGUACACGUUACAUCCUCGAAGCUGAAACGGAUUAAGUACGUCUCGACUGAGGAAAACGACGAAAUACUGGAAGAACUUGAUUUCUAAAAUCUCGUUAAAACAGUUGUAGAUAUGGUUCCAAGAGGAAUAGAUUUAGUUUAGAUUUACAUGUAUAUGCAUUAUGAUAACAUGAAUAUUCUUCUCAGACUUAUUCUGUAUCAUAUAUAAAAGCGAGUAGAAACAUAGAAAUGUCUGGGAAAAUUUAUGUCUUCGACGUACUUUAUAAUCUUCGGAAUUCUGCAAGAUUUCACCCCCAAAAUGCUUGAAAUCACAUUUCAGGGACUCUAAAUUUUAAAAUUUUCCCUGGGGUGCAUGCCCCCGAACCCCCCUAGAGCGUACUUUAUAAUCUUCGGAAUUCUGCAAGAUUUCAGCCCCAAAAUGCUUGAAAUCACAUUUCAGGGACUCUAAAUUUUUAAAUUUUCCCUGGGGUGCAUGCCCCCGAACCCCCCUAGAGCGUACUUUAUAAUCUUCGGAAUUCUGCAAGAUUUCACCCCCAAAAUGCUUGAAAUCACAUUUCAGGGACUCUAAAUUUUAAAAUUUUCCCUGGGGUGCAUGCCCCCGAACCCUCCUAGAGCGUACUUUAUAAUCUUCGGAAUUCUGCAAGAUUUCAGCCCCAAAAUGCUUGAAAUCACAUUUCAGGGACUCUAAAUUUCAAAAUUUUCACGGGGGUGCAUGUUCCCGGACCUCCAUAGAUGGUCUCGCGCCUUCAGCGUUCGCUUCGCCCCCCCAAAAAUGAAGGUCUGGCUACGCCACUGCAAUCAUCUAACAUGCCAAUUGUUUCAAUACGGUAACAGGUAGGUUUGGGGACUUGAUAGAAGUACAAAUUAUACCUCAUUAUUAAGGUUUAUGAAAAAUGGGGUCCUACUGUAGUUGGUCACAUGUGUAUUGUAUGUUCGCACCAAUAACAAUGUUUUGUCUUAGCAUAAAUAGCCCAAAUACACUGUGUGAUUUAAAUGCUUGGAGCAGCUGCAACCUCUGGCAGGAAUCGAACCUGCAUGCAGCCCUGCAAUUCCGGUGCAGUGCUGAGUAACCAACUGACAUAGUCAUAUGCCACUGUAAGGCAUAUUGUUUUGAUUGGUUAAUUAAUGUUAAAGUAUUUAGUAGUUGUAACUACAUUUAGGGCCUAUUUACAUGCAGGUAGGGUGACCCUAUCAGGAGGGUAAUUACCCUAGCAAGCGGGUCAGAAAAUAGCGAGCGUUUACAUGAGGUAGGGUGACCCUACUGCUAGGGCUAUGUUGCCGGAUAGGGUAACCCUACCUAUGCGUGGUCGCUAAGCCGUCUGUAUUAGAUAAAUGGCGCCGAAACGCAAAGUUUUAGCGGCAAGUUUGAAUGCUAUUUAUUGGGCUUUUGCUUGCUGCAUUUCAAUGUUGUGGUCUGUUAUUUCCGAGGUUAUUUCAAUAUCGUGGUCUGUUAUUUCAAUAUUAUGGUCUAUUACUCGCAUUGCGUAAAUAAGCGUAAUGUAUUCCUUGAUAUAGUCCAACACAACAGUUUUUCGACAUGCUCGGCUGACCAUGAGCAUUUAUUUUGGGGUUUUUUACGUCGAUGAGGAUGCGCCUGAAUUUUGCUUCCUUUUCGCCGUCUUUGACAAUUUGUUAUCGAAACUACAUAAUUCGCAGCGUUUUCGUCCAAAGUCAAAGCUUCGUUCUAUAUAUGCCUCUGCUUCCUUAUUUGUAAAUUGCUUAUCCUUUUUAUUUUCUGGUGUCGUUUAAAAUACUUGCCAGGCUGAUAUGUUCAUAUGUAUAAUCUAGCGAUGCCAUCCUUGUUUGUCUGUCCACGUCACAGUAGGAUGUAUAAAACAUGACCCGCUUGCUAGGGUAACCCUACCUGACGCGUUUACAUGGCUUAUGUAAACAAAAAGAUAGCCCUGCUGCUAGGGUCACCCUAUCUGUCUGAUAGGGUAACCCUACCCCUAGGGUAACCCUAGCGCGCAUGUAAACGCUUCCUAUAAUAAAAACAUCUUGAAGUAGGGUAACCCGCUUGCUAGGGUAACCCUUCUGCUAGGGUCACCCUACCUCCAUCCCUGUGGGUGGAAAACAACCACCCUCGCUACCUCAGGCUCUAUAUAUAAAAUAGAGCAUGAUCGCAAGUUAUCAAUAUGUGGACGUUUGACAGCGGUGAUGACUAAUAUAGAUUACAAGUUUUAUCAAGUCCCCACCAAACCAUGUGUUAGCAGGCAGAAUUCAGAGAAAAUCUGUGUACAGGGCCACUGAGAGAGUUUGCGGGGCCCGGGGCAAAUCUUCUCUGGGGACCCCAUGACAUUAUUUUGCUAGACCAAAUGCUCUGACCAAUUUAAAUUAAAGAACCUACUCAAUUUCAGGCUCUCGCUCUCCAGUUGGCGCCCUAUUAAGGUGGGGGCCUGGGGCAAUUUAUUUGCCCCCCAUCUCAGCGGCCCUGACUGUGUAUUUUAUAUUGGGAAGGCAAGGGGUAUGGCAGUAAUGAAAACUUAUUUCCUGACAGCACAAUUAUCCUUCUUGAUCCCUUGUAUCCCCCUUUUUACUGUAUAAAAUAUUGCAUAAUUUUCCUGCUGUGGUUCUUCCAUUUGUCUCCCAGUAUCAUGCUGAGUAGCUAGGCUGUGUAAACUGGUGUAAGUCUAGUAAGGUGCAUACUGCAUACUUUAAAAGUUUUACAUUUGGCAUUGUCAAGACUUGGACCCAGUGUGGGGCUGUGGGCUCCCCAGAGUAUAAAUUAGAUUUUGGUCACUCAGGCCGGGUAAGGUUAGGGCCUAAGUCUGAGCCACUAACUAGUGGGGGCCUGUAGAGCCAAAUGCCCCCCCCCUCAUAUACUGAUAUACAUUACAGUAUAUACUGUAUGUUAAAAUAUGCCUUGCUGGUAAGUAAUUAAUACUUUUAAUAAGAAAGCAAAAAUAAACUAAACAGUACUCCUCUUGAAACAAAACGUCCAUUUUCAAAGAAAAUGUCCUAGCUUAUUGUCAAGAAAUUCUCAUGGACUAACAGGACUAUUGGUAGGUUCUUACAUGCGAUUCUUAACUUAACACAUUAAGUACCCUCCCUUUGACGAGUAAAAUUGUCUGGCGUUAGACAAGAGUAAAAUAAUAAAGAAGCGUACUGCAAUGCGACUCAAUGGGUUAACAUUGUAUACGCGUUCGAUAACAUUGUAUAAUGCGUUGUUGGCUAUAACAACUCAAGGCCGUCGGAAGUAAAUCAAUAUGGGGGGGGGGCUCAAGAAUAAAUCUGAAUUGCCUUUGAACUUUUUUAGUUCCUUUGUGAAUUUUGCUUAUAAUACAAAUCCGACGACCUUGCAACUCAGGUGGAGUAGCUGGCUUUCAGAUCACAGAAAAGAACAUACAGGCCUUUUAAAAUCGAACUCUAUAAGGAAAAUGUGUAUUUGCGUAAACAAAUUAAGCAUUAAUACUGAGCCUGCGUAGGCAAGCUAGGGCCGGUUUAUAAGGUUCCGGGUCAGUCCUUUGGAUGGGCCAGCUCGUUUCCAAUGAAAUGCAGAAUGCAAAAAGGCUAAGAAGAAAUAUAGUAGUAAAUAAGGGAUGGACCGUUAGAUAUCCUGGGAAGGGGAUAUUUUCCUUGCAAGAAUUUAAUUUAUGUAAGUUUAUAUAUUUCUGUAUAUUCUGAUGUUAAGUUCCGGAACCUUUUUCUUUUCCUAUAAAUGCUUGCGUGAUUUUUUCCCUAAAUGCUUCCAAUGAAUUCCACUCUGCAUGAUAUUUUUGAGAUCUGCCACUCCCAUACUUAUCUCACCCCAGUCUCAGGAUACCUAAUGGGCCACCCCUUAUAACCCUGGUUGUGGAGUAUUGGGUUACUUUAUUACGCCUGUUUUAAGCAUGCCUUAUAGCCACCGUUUCUGGCCAGUGGGCCACACUCUUUGCAUUAUUUUUGUAGGGGCAUCUACCACCCCCUCACGACACCAUAUCAAAUAGUCCACCCCUGAUAACAAACGUAGAAUCUCGCCAAAACCGGGCGCUCGCCCCUAACACAAAACUACUCCUUUGUAUUAUAUAGGAAAUUAAACGAACAGUGACGUACAAUGUAUACGUAGUUCUGUUGAUUGGGCGAAGCGGAACAGUUUUAAUAUUUCUACAAGCAUUGCUCAGUACGAAAAUGGACGCUUCGAUUAGUAAUACUACUAUUCAUAUAGCUGUCGACCCAGAUAAAGGCAUCUCUACUAUUGAAAAGAACAGUGAAUCAAUAUUAAAGGAAAUAAUAUCAGCUAUCUGUGCUUUGCUAAAUAGAGAUGGUGGAACAGUGGUGUGUUCUUCCCAGAUGUCAUCUGUUAUUCAGCGAAAAGUUGAGCAAUCUAUGAUAUCUAUUAUUGGUUCGAGUCUCACUGUCUCGAAUAUAAAUUUCAAAGAAGAUAAAAAAGGCAUUUUAGUGUCAAAAGCUGAUUCCCUUAUAACAACUGAUUAUAACCUUUAUUUACCGAGUCAAUUACAAGUUGUGCAGGUAUUUCCUUGGGAACCACUAGAAAAAAUCAAGGACGAUAUCAUCAACAGAAGAGCCGUUCCAGAACCAGUCCUACUAGGAUCACAUUGUCAGAUAUUUCGCAAAAAGGAUCCUUGUGGUUUUCAUGAAAACAAAAUGCGUCAAUUAAAGAAUCUAAAAGCAGAGAAGUCAAAAUGUACCACGCUAGCAGAUCGUAUGACUGGUAAAGGUAAUAAAUUCAGUUGCUAUGUUUCUGCUUUUGCCAACUAUAACGGAGGUCAUAUCUAUUAUGGUAUCACUGACGAUGGAGUUGUUGAAGGAGAGUUGAUUUCGAACGAGGACAUCAUUGAAAUAACAAAAAAAGUUGAGAAAGCCAUCAACAAGAUGAUCUGGCCGGCGCAUAUUGGUCAACCAAAACGAGGGGAAGACUGGGAGAUAUUCUUCGAGCCAGUGGUAGAUGAAAACGCCAACCACAUCCCAUCAACCUUUGUGAUCGUGGUCUACAUCGCUCCUUGUGUAGGUGGUGUGUUCACCGAAGAACCUGAAUGUUACGAAAUAGUUGAGGGGACAGUUGUGAAGAUGUCGCUUACUGCUUGGAAGAAGAGAAUUUUGGGACCUGUCGAAGUUGAGUUGGUCCCCUAUGCAAUUGGCAGCAGCAUUACAUGGAUUUCAAAAAAGACUCGAAAUCUUUGUAUACAAGCAUUUUGUAUUCUAACGUUUUCUUUAAAUAAUGGGGAUUUCAGACGAUUUCAAGAAAAGUCGAAGGAAAUAAAAGAAAGAUUUCCAAAUAUUGUCGAGCUUAAAUUGGUGGUGUUGUUGAAAAAAAUAAUUUUGCGUUCCCGAAGACAUAAUUUUAAAACAGCAAAUAGUUUUCUUAAGAAGUACAGAGACCUUCUACGAAAUGCUACAGAGCAUCAUAUCUUUGAAGUGCUCGGUCUAUAUGUCGAGGCUGCGUAUAAUCGCCCCAAAGGCGACGAAGGCGAAACACUCAACCGCAUUCGAGAUCUAUUGGUUAGUGCUUUGGAGAAGUCAGAAUGCCUUGUACCAGGCUUAGUCACAGUGCUAGUAUUUUUAUUUGCAGGAACGAUGACGGACCGUAUUAAUGAUCCAUGUUUGUCUCCUCCUGAUGUGCUCUCGCGUAACGCUCUGCAACACCUCCAACAAGUUAUCAUGUCGGAUUGUCCCGAGGUACGCGCAGACCUGGAGUACAAGGCCCAUAUUACCCUUGCGACGUUUUAUCUCGGCUGUAACCUUUCUGGCGAGUUGGUCGCUGAACAUGUUGACGACAACUGUCUGAAUCAGGCCAACUCUAGUAUAAUGGCCAUUGAACAAUCACAGCGCAAACCUACACAUUAUCGCGAGGUCCAGCUUAACCUGGUCAAGUCGAUUUGUUGUUUCCGAUGUUCGGAAAACCAACCUAAAGACAGAAUGCGCUUUAUGCGGGAGGCGUUUAAAUUUUCUAAGAAUGGCGAAAAUCUUGCUGAGAAAUGGAAAUUCGAUGAAAUUUUUUUGUGGAGCAAAUCUCUGCAAAGAUUGUUCACUGAACAUUUGUUCGGCGUGCACAAAGUUCCGCAAUAAAAUCGGAGAUCUCGGUGUGAACGUGUCAGUGAAUCGAGACAUGGUCUGGAAGCUUGGUAAACUUCAAAGCGUUCCUGAUGAGCUACUAGUGAGCUUCAAAAGCCUGGUUCACACUGGCAAUUUUGUCGGCGAUGUUGUGUUUCUGACAGAUGCAAAACUCGCACACAAAAGUCGCUCUUCAGAAGUAAACAAUUCUAAGUCUUUUGCAUGUCACUCAUUCGAUCACAUUAUUUGCCAGGAAGAGAAAAAUCGCCGACAGAAUGGACCAUUUGCAUUAUAUUUAUAGACUAAAUUUUAAUCUAGACAAAAAUUCCAUCACAGCUUGAAAGAGCAUCACAAAAUUAGUAAUAUUCCAAAUGUUGCAAAAUGCAGAUAAUAUAGCCUUGCGAAGUUUGCCGUUUUUCAGUCAUUUUGCACGGGAAAUUGGUAAUCAGAUGAUCAAACUAAGUCUAUUACCAGUGUGACCCAGGCUUAAGCAAGCGACGUUUGUGAUGUUGUUGGGUCCUUCUGUAAGGUCUAUAUUCUGUAACGCAGGCUAGCCACCGGGAAAUGGUUUCGGGAUGGGUUUUUCUUCUCUUCUACUCUUCAGGCGAGAGAAUUAAAGCCCCGUUUACACUACGCUCGAUUUUUGGCACCGUACCACUUUUUUGGUUCUUGGACUACCUAAAUAAGUAGUCCAAGAGCCAAAAAAGUGGUACGGGUACCAAUUUUAUCCGUGCCGUACCAAAAAUAUAGCGUAGUGUAAACGGGGCUUAAGGCUACCCUAGAUGAGGCACUGCCAACCUAUUGUUGACCUUUUUUGCUGUUGAGCACUAUAUAACAUUUAGUGAAUCAAACUGUAGACAUUUUUAGCAUAAUUGCGUACGUGAUCAUGUAUUCACAAAACUUGUAAAUCAUAAUGUACAUUGUACAUAAAUUUUAAGCUACAUACAGUGUAUGUAUACAGCAGCUAUAAUUGCUUUGAAUUAAUGGUUGGAUAAGAACACAAGGUCUUGUACUCAUGGGACAAAACUCAAAGAAAUAAAAAUUAGAAAAUUUAAAAGAAAUAGUGUAUUUCUUUUAAAUUUUCUAAUUUUUAUUUCUUUGAGUUUUGUCCCAUGAGUACAAGACCUUGGUUUGUGUUCUUACCCAACCAUUAAUUCAAAGCAAUUAGAGCUGUCAGAUUACUACAAUACGUUAUAGCUAAUUUGAAAGAGUUCAGUUUUUUCCAUGCACACUGUAGAGGUUAGAAGUGCUUACGUCACACAAUGGACCAUUUGCAUUAUAAAUUAAAUUUUGAUCUAGACA